UACAGAGGUCUCAAGCGUUGUUCGGAUUCAUUGGGCGUAAAGGGUGCGUAGGCGGCGCGGUAAGUCGGGUGUGAAAUCUCGGGGCUUAACUCCGAAACUGCAUUCGAUACUGCCGUGCUUGAGGACUGGAGAGGAGACUGGAAUUUACGGUGUAGCGGUGAAAUGCGUAGAUAUCGUAAGGAAGACCAGUGGCGAAGGCGGGUCUCUGGGCAACAACUGACGCUGAUGAGCGAAAGCGUGGGGAGCGAACAGG
rnacentral:rRNA from 1 species